UGAACAAAUGUUUAAUGUGCAAUGAGACAAUAACAGAGUGAACAGUACUAGUUAGUAAAUUUUUUAACUCAAAGCCUUUUACUGUGCAUUCUGCAAGUGACAGUUAUUUUCAAGCAGCAAAACUUUUAAAGAGAAUGAUUACAAUUUCAUCAUGUUCAUAGUGUCACUGUUUGUGGUAAAUAUUGGAAAAAAUUGUGGGCAUGGACACUUCUUGUGUUUGGAGAGUGAAGUCUUCAGUUAUUCAGAUGGAAAUUGACAUGGAAAAUGGAUGAAGAUUAAAGAUGGAUACUAUAUAUUUCUGUUUUUUCUCCAAUUGGACAUUGGUUUUGACGCUUCUGGAUCAGCCUAUUCACAGUACAGAAUCGCAUAUUCUUUUUCGGUAAAACUUUUUUUUUUUUUAAUAAUAAUAAAGUCUUAAAUGCAGUAUAC